GAAACAUUCAAUUAUAAACAAUAUAAUUAAAACGCAACGAGAUUCUCAAAAACGUUUUUCUACUAAUAUACUAUAAAUGAAGUUAGCAUAAAAUGAUAAAAGUUUUUGAAUACCUUAUGCCGUCUUCGUAUUAAAUCAGUUUUAAUUGGCAAUUCAUCCAGUGAGAGUAGCCCAGCUGGCUACAGUACUUCGAUUCGAUUCUUCAAAGCAUCAAUAAAUGGAAUGGCAUUCAAUAUAUUGUUUUAUAUUUAGAAUUAAAAUUUUAUUUAAAUGAAGGCAAA
rnacentral:lncRNA from 1 species